GGGUUCAGUGGUAGAAUGCUCGCCUGCCACGCGGGCGCCCCGGGUUCCAUUCCAGCCGAUGCA
rnacentral:tRNA from 1 species